AGUUGUUUAUCCCGGGGAGCCGGCAGCGGGAGGGGCAGUUAAUCUUCCCGUGCGCUCUCCGUGGGCGUGAGCCGGGGGUGAGGAGGGGACGCCCGGGCCGGGAGCUGGGUGGGCGCCUGUCUGUCGGGCACCGUGGCGUGGGAACUGCUUCCUAGGCCCGCGCCGUGAGCGGUGCAGACACCGAGCAUCUGCUUUGAGCCCGACCGGGAGCGUGUCCGGGGACCGCGCUGCUGGGACAGCGGCGACAUCAGCGGCCAGAGCGGAGAGCGGCCGGGCGUGAGGCCGCGGGGACCGGCGCGGGCGCAGCAGGCGGCGGUGUGGCUCCCGGGGCUCGGUUUGGCCGGACCUGGUGGGGGGAGCCCCACCAGGGUGAGCCUCUCCGCGGCGGUGACCGGACGGUACCCCCCUGAGAAAGGCGUGGCCGCGGCGCAGGAGGAGACCCUGGGGCAGGAAGGCAGGCGCCGUGAGCCGCCCUGAGGGGGGACACUGAAGGGGACACCCCACCCCUGCCAAUGAAGGUCCCCACCACCCAGUGUCGGUGAAGGAACAGGGGCCCCGGAAGAGCUCUCUGCUGGGAGGGGUGGACAUCGAGCACCCCCACUUUGGAAACUGUUUGGCAGCUCGUCAUCUCCUGAACCCACAAAUACCGAUGACCUGGCCACCCCCUGAGGUACACCCCGACAGCGUGGACACAGACAUGCAGGACAACGAGUUCCAGGCGCCCACAGGCAGGAGGGCAACAGCCACACGGGGAGCACGUGCCACCGGCCACCGAGGGACAGUGGGGAGGUGUGUCCGCUCGGCGAGCCCAGACCCCGGCCAAACCGACAGGCUGCUCUAUGCCCUCAACCUGAGGACCCUCGAGAAAGCAACAGUAAGAGACCCGGCCUCCGUGGCUCAGGGGUGAGCGUCGAUCUAUGAACCAGGAGGUCACAGUUCGAUUCCCAGUCAGGGCACGUGCCCGGGUUGUGGGCUUGAUCCCCAGUGGGGGGCGUGCAGGAGGCAGCUGGUCCAUGAUUCUCUCUCAUCACUGAUGUUUCUCUCUCCCUCUCCCUUCCUCUGGGCUUUUGUUUGUAUGAAACGCAAAGAGCAGCGAAGCUCGUCAGUGUGUCAGAGGCAUGGCCGUUGCCCUGAGGGGUGCGGGUGGGGGCCAGGGUCCUGGGCCGUGUGGUCAACCCAGUGGCGGUCCCGUGGGCAGGUUCAGCGUAGGCCGUGCCCUGCCACACGCCUCUCUGCGCUGAUCAGCAAGGUCACGGGGAGCGUCCGUGUGCGCUGGGCAGGGCCGGGCCUCACGGGGGAGGGAGAGGACCCCGCCAGGCCCCUGCACCGCCACCUCCCGGCGUGACGCCCUCCAGAGCCACGGGCUCAUGGACGGUGUGUGGCCCCCGAGGAAAACCAGCCCCAGACUGGCCGUGCCCACAGGCCAGCUCGCUUCCGGCUGCCGCACACGCGGGCCUCACACCACCCAACGCAGGCCUGUGUGCCAGCUUCCCGCCAGCCCGCAGCACCGCCUGCAUUCCCGGGUUGGCGUGACGGGAGCGGCCGCUCUGGCGCACAGCCUGCCCCGAGGGCCCUCCCUCUGCCCGGCCUGGCCCGGAGCCCGCGCGUCCCGUAACAGCAGCGGCGAUGGCUGAGGCCAUCGCGGCGCCAGCGCGGAUUUUGCCACACGGAGAAAAGUAACACGGAGUUACCUGUGACACAGCGAGGCCACUCCUAAGCAUGUGCCCAAGAGGAUGGAAAACAUACGUCCACAUGCGUGAGAUCGUCAGGGUGGCAUGAUUCAUACCGACCGGCCCGAAAGCUGAAAACAGCCCACACGGCCAUCAGAUGGUGAGUGGACAUUGAGGUUUCCGGGGCCUGUGGACACAGGUCACCAUGGCCCGGGGGCUUAAAUCAGCUGACACGUGUGUCCUGCAGCCAGAGUCUGAAAUGCAGCCGCUGGAAGGACCACAUCCUCCCUCUCGCCCUCCCUCCCUCCCUCUCUCACUCUCUCUCUGAAACCCCCUCUUCCAGCUGCUGGCGGGGGGUGAGCUGGCCGAACGUUUCUGGGCUUGUGGCUCCUGCCUCCACCUGCCUCCCGUGACUGUCUUCUCUCUGGUGUCCCCUGAGGACACACGUCACGGGGGCUCACUCCACAGGGGCCUGUUCGAGCCCAUUGCACCCGUGAGACCUCGGUUUCCGAAAAAGGUCACGGUCCCUGUUUGGGUUCGGCGCCCACGUACCGUGUUGGGAGGACUCAGCUCAACUCGGGACAGUGGACGGGCUGUUCCGCAGCGAUGAGUGGGAACGAUGCCGACACGUGUUGCGACGUGUGAAACCUGAAAGCAUGGCGCCAAGUGAGAGAAGCCGAAGGCCGAGGUCACGCUGCGGGGGUCCCUGUGGAGCCCCCGGAACAGGCACAUCCGUGGGGGCGGGAAGCCGGCUCAGGGGCUGGAGGGGGGAGGGCUGAGGAGGGGGCUCCCGGGAAUGCGUUUAUCUCUGGAGCAAUGAGAUGGUCAGGGGUUAGACAGUGGUAGGAGGUGAACAGCAGUGUGACUGCGCGAAAAGCCACGGAACCGUGCGCCUUAAAAGGGUGAACUGGUGGCCUGUCCAUUCUACCUCAACAGGGAAGGAGACCCUGUUCAAAGGAUGGAAAACAAGCUACCGGCCGGGAGGAACGCAAACCCCCAUUUACCCACAGACUCGGAUUCAGGAUAUAUUGUUUAAAAAGAACCUUAAAAACCAACAGUGAGCAGCAAUCCAACCAGGACACGAAGAGACGUUCACUGGAGAAGACAGAGCUGUGGACUGACCCGGGGAGAGAGCUCGCGCCGUCGGCCGCGGAGAAGUGAAGUCACAGCCACAGGAGGCAGCUCCGCACCCCGGCGGCUGUGACGGACGAACGGUGACCACGCCCGGCCGAGAGGUCCGCAGGCUGACGCUCUAUCCACUGAGCCACACCGGCCAGGGUGGCAGCAGCUUUCUUCAGAGCGGCCGUCCAUGGGAACAGCCCCGCGCCACGGCCUUCGAGGACACGGUCCCGCCCACAGCACGGACGCUGCUCAGCCGUCAGAGGGAGCGGAGCAGAGGAGCCGCCAGGGAACUGGGCUGUCGGGGAGCCAGUCUCAGAGGGUCCCUGCUCUAUGGUUCUAUGUCUAGAAUGUUCUUUAAGUGGUGGGGUACAGGAUGGAGGCGAGGACGGUUUCCAGGGAUGAGGAGUUGGGUGGGUGGGCUAUACAGGGGCAGCGUGAGGGGGAUCUCUGGGCCGCGAGGGGGCGGAUCAGUCCUGUGGCUCGACCAUGGUGAUGGUGACACAGAUCGACACAUGCAGUAAAUGACAUGAAACUACACACACGCCCUCGGCGGCGUGGCUCAGUGGAUAGGGCGUCGGCCUGCGGGGUGAAGGGUCCGGGUUGAUCCUGGUCAGGGCACAGGCCCCGGUUGUGGUCUCCAUCCCCAGUGGGGGGCGUGCAGGAGGCAGCCGAUC